GACGAACGCUGGCGGCGUGCCUAACACAUGCAAGUCGAGCGGAGUCAGUAAGAGGAAGUUUUCGGAUGGAAUCUUAUUGAUUUAGCGGCGGACGGGUGAGUAACGCGUGAGCGACCAACCUUGCACAGGGGGAUAACGGACCGAAAGGUUCACUAAUACCGCAUGAGACCACGGUGUUGCAUGACACAGGGGUCAAAGGAGGAAUCCGGUGCAAGACGGGCUCGCGUCCGAUUAGGUAGUUGGAGGGGUAACGGCCCACCAAGCCUAUGAUCGGUAGCCGACCUGAGAGGGUGAUCGGCCACAUUGGAACUGAGACACGGUCCAGACUCCUACGGGAGGCAGCAGUGGGGAAUAUUGGGCAAUGGGCGAAAGCCUGACCCAGCAACGCCGCGUGAGGGAAGAAGGUCUUCGGAUUGUAAACCUCUGUUCUUGGUGACGAAAAAGAUGACGGUAGCCAAGGAGAAAGCCCCGGCUAACUACGUG
rnacentral:rRNA from 1 species